AAUAAACCAAUCUUUUACCUUUUACCUAUAAUGUUUGACUCUUCGUCUUAUUUAAUUUUUUUAGAUUAACAUUUUUGUUUUCAUUAGAUGAUAAAUUAUGAAUAGUAUUUUACGUGUAACUAACAUUUUUCCAAUUUCUUGAAAUUUUUUCAAAUAAGACGGAUGAUCAAACGCCGGAGACGGAUGAUCAAAAGUUUGCCUUAUU
rnacentral:pre_miRNA from 1 species